AUUUGACGUUACCUACAGAAGAAGCACCGGCUAACUCCGUCGCCAGCAGCCGCGGUAAUACGGGAGGGUGCGAGCGUUAAUACGGAAUUACUGGGACGUAAAGCGCAUGCAGGCGGCCUGUUAAGUCAGAUGUAGAAACGGCCCGGGGACCGUUUAACCGUACGGUAAGUUGCUAUUUAGUAAACUGGCGAGGCUAGAGUCUUGUAGAGGGGGGUAGGAAUUUCAGGUGUAGCGGUGAAAUGCGUAGAGAUCUGAAGGAAUACCAGUGGCGAAGGCGGCCCCCUGGACAAAGACUGACGCUCAGAUGCGAAAGCGUGGGGAGCAAACAGGAUUAGAUACCCUGGUAG
rnacentral:rRNA from 1 species